AGAUGUGAGGGCAAUCUGGCUACAACAUCUGUCAACCCACUGACCGCCAGAACUGUUUCAGUUGAUCUGGCUGGAUAGUCAGGUGUCCCCUUCCUCCCUCACCACUCUGUGUGCUUUCCUCCUGAAGCUGAUGUGAGGUUGAACAGGGCAACCUUCCCAGAAUAGAAAAGGACCCAUCUUCAGCCAAGGGUAUACUAGUUGCUGCAUUCCCCUGCUAGAACCUCCAAACAAGCUCUCAAUUUCAUUGAUCAUCCUAUCAGUUUUUAUGCCAAUAUCAUGAGUUUUAUUUUUAUUUCUAUUGCUCUGUAGUAGUACUUUAAAUCAAGCAUGGCAGUACUUCCAGAAUUU
rfam:Cricetulus griseus cell line CHO-K1, whole genome shotgun sequence.